GUGGGGGGGAGGCUACACAUGCAGUCGAGCGGAAACGAGUUAUCAGAACCUUCGGGGGACGAUAACGGCGUCGAGCGGCGGACGGGUGAGUAAUGCCUAGGAAAUUGCCCUGAUGUGGGGGAUAACCAUUGGAAACGAUGGCUAAUACCGCAUGAUGCCUACGGGCCAAAGAGGGGGACCUUCGGGCCUCUCGCGUCAGGAUAUGCCUAGGUGGGAUUAGCUAGUUGGUGAGGUAAGGGCUCACCAAGGCGACGAUCCCUAGCUGGUCUGAGAGGAUGAUCAGCCACACUGGAACUGAGACACGGUCCAGACUCCUACGGGAGGCAGCAGUGGGGAAUAUUGCACAAUGGGCGCAAGCCUGAUGCAGCCAUGCCGCGUGUGUGAAGAAGGCCUUCGGGUUGUAAAGCACUUUCAGUCGUGAGGAAGGUAGUGUAGUUAAUAGCUGCAUUAUUUGACGUUAGCGACAGAAGAAGCACCGGCUAACUCCGUGCCAGCAGCCGCGGUAAUACGGAGGGUGCGAGCGUUAAUCGGAAUUACUGGGCGUAAAGCGCAUGCAGGUGGUUUGUUAAGUCAGAUGUGAAAGCCCGGGGCUCAACCUCGGAAUUGCAUUUGAAACUGGCAGACUAGAGUACUGUAGAGGGGGGUAGAAUUUCAGGUGUAGCGGUGAAAUGCGUAGAGAUCUGAAGGAAUACCGGUGGCGAAGGCGGCCCCCUGGACAGAUACUGACACUCAGAUGCGAAAGCGUGGGGAGCAAACAGGAUUAGAUACCCUGGUAGUCCACGCCGUAAACGAUGUCUACUUGGAGGUUGUGGCCUUGAGCCGUGGCUUUCGGAGCUAACGCGUUAAGUAGACCGCCUGGGGAGUACGGUCGCAAGAUUAAAACUCAAAUGAAUUGACGGGGGCCCGCACAAGCGGUGGAGCAUGUGGUUUAAUUCGAUGCAACGCGAAGAACCUUACCUACUCUUGACAUCCAGAGAACUUUCCAGAGAUGGAUUGGUGCCUUCGGGAACUCUGAGACAGGUGCUGCAUGGCUGUCGUCAGCUCGUGUUGUGAAAUGUUGGGUUAAGUCCCGCAACGAGCGCAACCCUUAUCCUUGUUUGCCAGCGAGUAAUGUCGGGAACUCCAGGGAGACUGCCGGUGAUAAACCGGAGGAAGGUGGGGACGACGUCAAGUCAUCAUGGCCCUUACGAGUAGGGCUACACACGUGCUACAAUGGCGCAUACAGAGGGCGGCCAACUUGCGAAAGUGAGCGAAUCCCAAAAAGUGCGUCGUAGUCCGGAUUGGAGUCUGCAACUCGACUCCAUGAAGUCGGAAUCGCUAGUAAUCGUGGAUCAGAAUGCCACGGUGAAUACGUUCCCGGGCCUUGUACACACCGCCCGUCACACCAUGGGAGUGGGCUGCAAAAGAAGUAGGUAGUUUAACCUUCGGGGGGACGCUUACCACUUUUUUGU
rnacentral:rRNA from 1 species